GACGAACCGUGCAAACGUUGUUCGGAAUCACUGGGCUUAAAGGGCGCGUAGGCGGGCCAGCCAGUCUGUGGUGAAAGCCUCCAGCUUAACUGGAGAAGUGCCGUGGAUACUGCUGGCCUCGAGGAGGAUAGGGGCAUCUGGAACGGUCGGUGGAGCGGUGAAAUGCGUUGAUAUCGACCGGAACUCCGGUGGCGAAGGCGAGGUGCUGGGUCCUUCUGACGCUGAUGGCGCGAAAGCCAGGGGAGCAAAGCGGG
rnacentral:rRNA from 1 species